UAGAUACCCUGUUAUUUAAAUUAUAAAAAUAAUAUUUAAGUAGUAAAUAGAUAUGUUCUUGAAAUUUAGAGGAUUUGGCGGUAUUUUAGUCUGGUUAGAGGAACCUGUUCUUUAAACGAUAAACCACGAAAAAUUUUUACUUUUUUUAGUAUUUCAGUUUGUAUAUCGUCAUUAUUAAGUAAUUUUUAUAAAAAUUAUUUAAAUAAAUAGUUUUAGUAUAUUAGAUCAAGGUGCAGCUAAUAAGAAAGAAAGAAAUGGGUUACAAUAGUAUUUGUGUAUAUGAAAAUUAAAUAUUAAAUGUUUAUGGAAAGUGGAUUUAAUAGUAAUUAUAUUUUAAUAUGGUAUUAUGAUUAUAGCUCUAUAAUAUGUACAUAUCGCCC
rnacentral:rRNA from 1 species